rnacentral:rRNA from 1 species
GCGCAGGAAAAGAAACCAACAGGGAUUGCCUCAGUAACGGCGAGUGAAGCGGCAACAGCUCAAAUUUGAAGCCUGCCAACCGGCCGGAUUGUAAUUUGUAGAGGAUGCUUUGGAGUAGGCACUGAUCUAAGUUUCUUGGAACAGUACGUCACAGAGGGUGAGAAUCCCGUUCGUGGUCGGCUGCCUGCUUCGUGUAAAGCUCCUUCGACGAGUCGAGUUGUUUGGGAAUGCAGCUCAAAAUGGGUGGUAAAUUUCAUCUAAGGCUAAAUAUUGGCCAGAGACCGAUAGCGCACAAGUAGAGUGAUCGAAAGAUGAAAAGCACUUUGGAAAGAGAGUUAAACAGCACGUGAAAUUGUUGAAAGGGAAGCGCUUGCAAUCAGACUUGCGCGUAGGUAAUCAAGGGCGGUUCGCUGCCCUGCACUUGCCUGCGCUCAGGCCAGCAUCAGUUUUGGGGGUGGGAUAAAGGCCGUGGGAAUGUGGCUCUUCGGAGUGUUAUAGCCCUCGGUGCCAUGCCGCCUCCCGAGACUGAGGACCGCGCUUCGGCUAGGAUGCUGGCGUAAUGAUUGUAAGCGACCCGUCUUGAAACACGGACCAAGGAGUCUAACAUCUAUGCGAGUGUUUGGGUGUCAAACCCACACGCGGAAUGAAAGUGAACGGAGGUGAGAGCCCUUGAGGGUGCAUCAUCGACCGAUCCUGAUGUUCUCGGAUGGAUUUGA